AUUGAACGCUGGAGGCAUGCUUUACACAUGCAAGUCGAACGGUAACAGGCCUUCGGGUGCUGACGAGUGGCGAACGGGUGAGUAAUGCAUCGGAACGUACCCAGAGGUGGGGGAUAACGCAGCGAAAGCUGUGCUAAUACCGCAUGUGAUCUGAGGAUGAAAGCGGGGGACCGAGCAGCAAUGUUUGGCCUCGCGCCUUUGGAGCGGCCGAUGUCGGAUUAGCUAGUUGGUGGGGUAAAGGCCUACCAAGGCGACGAUCCGUAGCUGGUCUGAGAGGACGACCAGCCACACUGGGACUGAGACACGGCCCAGACUCCUACGGGAGGCAGCAGUGGGGAAUUUUGGACAAUGGGCGCAAGCCUGAUCCAGCAAUGCCGCGUGCGGGAAGAAGGCCUUCGGGUUGUAAACCGCUUUUGGCAGGAACGAAACGGUGUCCGCUAAUACCGGGCGCUAAUGACGGUACCUGCAGAAUAAGCACCGGCUAACUACGUG
rnacentral:rRNA from 1 species